GACGAACCGAGCGAACGUUGUUCGGAAUCACUGGGCUUAAAGGGCGCGUAGGCGGGCUGUCAAGUCAGGGGUGAAAUCCUGGAGCUCAACUCCAGAACUGCCUUUGAUACUGGCGAUCUUGAGUCCGGGAGAGGUGAGUGGAACUGCGAGUGUAGAGGUGAAAUUCGUAGAUAUUCGCAAGAACACCAGUGGCGAAGGCGGCUCACUGGCCCGGUACUGACGCUGAGGUGCGAAAGCGUGGGGAGCAAACAGGGAUUAAGAAACCCGGGUGAGUCCCAGGA
rnacentral:rRNA from 1 species